AACUCCCGACCUCAGGUGAUCCACCCACCUUGGCCUCCCAAAAUGCUGGGAUUACAGGCCUGAGCCACUGUGCCUGGCCAUGGGAAGAUUUUUUUUAUUACUAAAUUCAGUUUAUUUACUUGUUAUAGGUCUGUUCAGAUUUUGUUUCCUUUUAAGUCAGUAGGUUAUGUGUUUCUAGGAAUUUGUCCAUUUCAUCUAGGUAAUCUAAUUUGUGGACAUACUUUGUUCAUAGUAUUAUAAUUUUUUUCCAUUUAUGUAUGGUUGGUAGUAAUGUUCCAUCUUUCUUUCUUUUAGUAAUUUUAAUCUUCUCUUUUUUUUUUCUGGUCAUUCAGGCUAAAAGUUUGUCAAUUUUAUUGAUCUUUUCAAAGGACCAAUGUUUAAAAUUUCUGUUGUUUUUCUAUUUUCUAUUUCAUUUACAAGGAAUCCUCCCACCUCAGCCUCCCAAGUACCUGGGACUACAGGCAUGUGCCACCAUGUCUGGCUAAUUUUGUUUAUUUUUUGUAAGGGCAAGGUCUCACUGCAUUAUUCAGGCUGUCAAAAUCCAGGCCUUUCUUGGGAUCUACUUUCCAGAUUCCUUGGGGUACGUGGUGUGAGAGUCAUGGCUAGAUCGGCCACUGUGAUGCUUUUCUUUUCCCACUGCACAGGGAAAGGGUGGCUAACUGAGUGAGAUGGCAGAGUUGUUGAAAUACUCCAUGGUGGAGGAAAAUGAAGGUUUAUUGUGUUUCUUCAAGGGCAAGGGCAAAUCUCAGCUGAGAGGCUGUCAAAAUAGGCACAGAAGAGGACACCUUAGCCAAGUCUAUUACAACAAAAUAC
rnacentral:lncRNA from 1 species